UUUAUUAUUUUUUAGCUAAUGUUCCUUGUGCACAUCAUUGUACGCAUGUUGUUACGUGGUUUGAGAAAUUAUUUAAAGAAAUACAACAAAUGCGUGCAGAACAGACUGUGAUAAAUCAUCGUUUAGAUCAACAAUGUCAAAAUGAGCAUCAGCAUGUAGAUAGCAAUUUUUUGAAUUGUCUUCCACUUGAGAGUGAAGUUGAUUUUGAACGAUUCGGUAUAGAGAUAGAUAGUUACAAUGGAAAACGAACUUCUUUGAUACGUUAUUUGCGGAAGAGGUCAGACUCAAAUGUCAACAAGACCAUACUAAAUAUAUUGAGAAGUUUAUUAAAGGACAAUGUUCUUAGUUGUUAUUCUAGAGAUGGGAAACGCGGAAAAAAAUUUUUUCUUCAGCAAAGGGAAACUUUGUUUCCAUAAUUCAAGAUGUUGUUUUGAAAGUUCAUAAAGGUGUGUCGUUGGUCCAAAUAAAUGUUGCGAUUUUGGAACAAUUAAAGAGACUUAAUCAAAGAAAUCGAAAUUCUAAGUCUACAACAGCUGAAGAAACUACACCUGAAAUUCCAGAGUUUGAUUAAAAACCAAUUAUUUUAUUAAUUUUAAAAUAAAUUGUUAAAAAAUAAAGUCUUUUUUAUUGUUGAGAAGACUUAUAAGUUUGAAAGAUCCUGCUUACACACUUUGGUUAGCACUAUGACAUGUUACUUAUUUAGGGAUAGGCGAGGGCUUCAGUACAUACACUGACUGAUUUAGGGAGAACUCGCAA